rnacentral:rRNA from 1 species
AUUGAACGCUGGCGGCACGCUUAACACAUGUAAGUCGAGCGGUAGCAUGAGUAGUAGCAAUACUACUUGAUGACGAGCGGCGGACGGGUGAGUAACACGUAGGAACUUGCCCAAUAGAGGGGGACAACUAAGGGAAACUUUAGCUAAUACCGCAUAUACUCGAGAGAGGAAAGCUGCCGCAAGGUGGCGCUAUUGGAGAGGCCUGCGUCUGAUUAGCUAGUUGGUGAGGUAAAGGCUCACCAAGGCGAUGAUCAGUAACUGGUCUGAGAGGACGACCAGUCACACUGGGACUGAGACACGGCCCAGACUCCGACGGGAGGCAGCAGUGGGGAAUCUUGGACAAUGGGGGCAACCCUGAUUCAGCGAUGCCGCGUGAGUGAAGAAGGCCUUCGGGUCGUAAAGCUCUUUAGGUUGGGAGGAAGGUUGGUAUUUUAAGAGAUAACCAAUUUGACUGUACCGACAGAAUAAGCACCGGCAAACUCUGUGCCAGCCGCCGCAGUAA